rnacentral:rRNA from 1 species
CUGGAGUUUGGCAGAGGGGGGUAGAAUUCCACGUGUAGCAGUGAAAUGCGUAGAGAUGUGGAGGAAUACCGAUGGCGAAGGCAGCCCCCUGGGCUAUUUCUGACACUCAUGCACGAAAGCGUGGGGAGCAAACAGGAUUAGAUACCCCGGUAGUCCACGCCCUAAACGAUGUCAACUAGAUGUUGGAAGGGUUAAACCUUUUAGUGCCGUAGCUAACAA